rnacentral:rRNA from 1 species
AACGUAGGUACCGAGCGUUAUCCGGAUUCACUGGGCGUAAAGCGCGUGCAGGUGGUUUGGUAAGUCGGGCAUGAAAACUCUUGGCUCAACUAAGAGACGCUGUCCGAUACUGCCAGACUUGAGGGUGUGAGAGGGAGGUGGAAUUCCGCGUGUAGUGGUGAAAUGCGCAGAUAUGCGGAGGAACACCAGUGGCGAAGGCGGCCUCCUGGCACACUCCUGACACUCAGACGCGAAAGCUAGGGGAGCGAACGGG